GUGAAUCAUCAAAUUUUUGAACGCAAAUUGCACUCUCUUCGGAGAGUAUGCCUGUUUGAGGGUCAGUAUUAAUAAAAAUCGGUGUGUUGCUUCUUUGUGACGCUCCGGAGUUUGGGUCAUCUUAAUAUCCUUUAGGUUUUAAGAGGCUUAAAAUUGACUUUUUUUGCGAUUUUUAGUUGUCAAUAAAUUCUUUUUUUUUUUCGUCUGUCUUAUUGCUAAAAACCUUUUUAGUUG
rnacentral:misc_RNA from 1 species